rnacentral:rRNA from 1 species
GGCUGAAACUCGCCUUCACGAAGUCGGAAUUGCUAGUAAUGGCAGGUCAGCAUACUGCCGUGAAUACGUUCCCGGGCCUUGUACACACCGCCCGUCACACCAUGAGAGUUAGGAAUACCCGAAGCCUGUGAGCCAACUUUUCAAGAGGCAGCAGUCGAAGGUAGAACUAAUGAUUGGGGUGAAGUCGUAACAAGGUAUC